CUUAACUGUUUUUGAAAGAAAAAGUAUUCUCUUAGGUGCAUGAUACAUUUCAAUGAGUACCUUGAAACAAGAGGAAGGUGAGCAUAUUUAUUAGGGUAAAAAUGGAACUCCUGAUUUCCUCAGGUGAUUUAAAGAGCUUGCAAGCAAUAUGGUAAUAGGGAGUACAAAGGUUUUUUUGAUGCUUGUAAACAGCGAUAAUUCUUUGGUGCGAUAUAAUGAGGUACUGACAAGGGUCAGAGAUUUCCCGGGCUAAUUCUGAUAGAUUUUGUUUUUCUCUCUCUGGCACGGGCCAAGAGGGGCCCGGGCCAGGGUUGCUGUUUGAGCCCCGGUUCGGGUUUUGAGCUUUCAGCCCUUCUUUGAACAUGCGUCUGUUAGGUCAGGUGAAGGAAAGAAGGGGGGACUUCCUUCUGGUUUGCAAUUCACAGAUUUAUUUUGUAAGGGGAAAUCCAGGAGAAAAGACAAAGAACGAGGGUCUGAUCGUCACCUUUUAAAGGGUUCAUGCCCUGGGGGGCUGGGAAUUUUAAGAACCAGUUAGAAGUUACAGCUGGUGGGAACACAAACUUUCUACGACUAAAAUACCAACAGGUAAAGAUAAGCGGUAACGGACAUGCGAAUUCUCUAAUUCUGAGGAUUAGGGGUUUUUUCACAGGCGGGGUGGAGCCGCAGGAGAAAGGGGGAAGAGAUCGGUCCACCUGAGCCUCUGCCACUGGGACACGAGAAAGCACGGGUAAAAGCGGCAGAGACACCGCACCGGGGCCGGAGUAACAAAAAGCGAAUCCCCCGCGGAGGCGACGACCGCCCGCACCGGGACUGGCGCAGGGCUGGAGCGCCGCAGGGGAAAACGAGCAAGCCGCAAGGUAACGCUGGCUCCGGGGCCCCGACAACAAAGGAGCAGGUCUCCCUCGGCCGCGCGGGCCGCCCGGAGGGAAAACGGAGGCGGACACAGUGCGGGGAGAAACACGAGCUGAAGCCGGAGCCCGGGCUCACGCGGGCUGGGCCCUGCGGUGCCCGCAGCCACAGCCCCCCGCGGGCGGCGGGGACAGCGGCGGGGACAAACCCCCGCGGGCGGCGGGGACAAACCCCCGCGGGCGGCGGGGACAAACCCCCGCGGGCGGCGGGGACAAACCCCCGCGGGCGGCGGGGACAAACCCCCGCUGAAGCCGGAGCCCGGGCUCACGCGGGCUGGGCCCUGCGGUGCCCGCAGCCACAGCCCCCCGCGGGCGGCGGGGACAGCGGCGGGGACAGCCCCCCGCGGGCGGCUGGGACGGCGGCAGCAGCGGGAAAAGGGGAGAGCGGUGGGGAGAACCCGGCAGAAGCUUUAAUCGCGGCAGCGAGGGGGAUGGGCGUACAUCCCAGCCACGGUCGAAGGGAAAAAAGCCUCCAACCUAGCUGGCAAACUAAAAAGCCCACCACAACAAGCAAUCCUGCCUUCUUACAGCGUGGCUCCUUCAAACUCGGUGUAUUUUGUGCCUGUCCAUUAAUUAUACCCUCAAGACAUUAG
rnacentral:lncRNA from 1 species